AUUGAACGCUGGCGGCAGGCCUAACACAUGCAAGUCGAGCGGAUGAGUGGAGCUUGCUCCAUGAUUCAGCGGCGGACGGGUGAGUAAUGCCUAGGAAUCUGCCUGGUAGUGGGGGACAACGUUUCGAAAGGAACGCUAAUACCGCAUACGUCCUACGGGAGAAAGCAGGGGACCUUCGGGCCUUGCGCUAUCAGAUGAGCCUAGGUCGGAUUAGCUAGUAGGUGAGGUAAUGGCUCACCUAGGCGACGAUCCGUAACUGGUCUGAGAGGAUGAUCAGUCACACUGGAACUGAGACACGGCCCAGACUCCUACGGGAGGCAGCAGUGGGGAAUUUUGGACAAUGGGCGCAAGCCUGAUCCAGCAAUGCCGCGUGCAGGAUGAAGGCCUUC
rnacentral:rRNA from 1 species